AAAAACGACCAUACCACGAUGACAGCACCGCUUCCCGUCCGCUCAGCGAAGUUAAGCAUUGUCGGGCUCGGUUAGUACUACGGUGGGGGACCACGUUGGAAUACCGAGUGUUGUUCUUU
rfam:Phaeodactylum tricornutum CCAP 1055/1 chromosome 1, whole genome shotgun sequence.